AGAGUUUGAUCCUGGCUCAGAACGAACGCUGGCGGCAUGCCUAACACAUGCAAGUCGAACGAGACCUUCGGGUCUAGUGGCGCACGGGUGCGUAACGCGUGGGAAUCUGCCCUUGGUUCGGAAUAACAGCGAGAAAUUGCUGCUAAUACCGGAUGAUGACGUAAGUCCAAAGAUUUAUCGCCCAAGGAUGAGCCCGCGUAGGAUUAGCUAGUUGGUGAGGUAAAGGCUCACCAAGGCGACGAUCCUUAGCUGGUCUGAGAGGAUGAUCAGCCACACUGGGACUGAGACACGGCCCAGACUCCUACGGGAGGCAGCAGUGGGGAAUAUUGGACAAUGGGCGAAAGCCUGAUCCAGCAAUGCCGCGUGAGUGAUGAAGGCCUUAGGGUUGUAAAGCUCUUUUACCCGGGAUGAUAAUGACAGUACCGGGAGAAUAAGCUCCGGCUAACUCCGUG
rnacentral:rRNA from 1 species